UGGGGAAUAUUGCACAAUGGGCGCAAGCCUGAUGCAGCCAUGCCGCGUGUAUGAAGAAGGCCUUCGGGUUGUAAAGUACUUUCAGCGAGGAGGAAGGCGUUGUGGUUAAUAACCGCAGCGAUUGACGUUACUCGCAGAAGAAGCACCGGCUAACUCCGUGCCAGCAGCCGCGGUAAUACGGAGGGUGCAAGCGUUAAUCGGAAUUACUGGGCGUAAAGAGCACGCAGGCGGUCUGUCAAGUCGGAUGUGAAAUCCCCGGGCUCAACCUGGGAACUGCAUCCGAAACUGGCAGGCUAGAGUCUGGAAGAGGGGGGUAGAAUUCCAGGUGUAGCGGUGAAAUGCGUAGAGAUCUGGAGGAAUACCGGUGGCGAAGGCGGCCCCCUGGACAAAGACUGACGCUCAGGUGCGAAAGCGUGGGGAGCAAACA
rnacentral:rRNA from 1 species